UCCAUGAGUACAGUGGCGCACGGGUGAGUAACACGUGACUAACCUACCCUGGAGUGGGGGAUAACUGAGGGAAACCUUAGCUAAUACCGCAUAAUACCUACGGGUCAAAGGAGCAAUUCGCUUCAGGAGGGGGUCGCGGCCGAUUAGUUAGUUGGCGGGGUAAUGGCCCACCAAGACAGUGAUCGGUAUCCGGCCUGAGAGGGCGCACGGACACACUGGAACUGAAACACGGUCCAG
rnacentral:rRNA from 1 species